rnacentral:rRNA from 1 species
CGGAUCGCAGGCUGNAACCCGCCUGCGUGAAGUCGGAAUCGCUAGUAAUCGCGGAUCAGCAUGCCGCGGUGAAUACGUUCCCGGGCCUUGUACACACGCCCGUCACACCAUGAGAGUCGGGAACACCCGAAGCCCGUAGCCUAACAGCAAUGAGGGCGCGGCCGAAGGUGGGUUCGAUAAUUGGGGUGAAGUCGUAACAAGGUAUC